UACGGGGGGGGCAAGCGUUGUUCGGAAUUACUGGGCGUAAAGCGUGCGCAGGCGGUUUGCUAAGACAGGUGUGAAAUCCCCGGGCUUAACCUGGGAACUGCGCUUGUAACUGGCAAGCUAGAGUGUGGCAGAGGGGGGUGGAAUUCCACGUGUAGCAGUGAAAUGCGUAGAGAUGUGGAGGAACACCGAUGGCGAAGGCAGCCCCCUGGGCUAACACUGACGCUCAUGCACGAAAGCGUGGGGAGCAAACAGG
rnacentral:rRNA from 1 species